rnacentral:rRNA from 1 species
CCUACGGUUGGCAGCAGUGGGGAAUAUUGGGCAAUGGGCGCAAGCCUGACCCAGCAACGCCGCGUGAAGGAAGAAUGCUUUCGGGUUGUAAACUUCUUUUCUCAGGGACGAAGAAAGUGACGGUACCUGAGGAAUAAGCCACGGCUAACUACGUGCAAGCAGCCGCGGUAAUACGUAGGUGGCAAGCGUUAUCCGGAUUUACUGGGUGUAAAGGGAGUGUAGGCGGGAAAGCAAGUCAGAUGUGAAAACCAUGGGCUCAACCUGUGGCCUGCAUUUGAAACUGUUUUUCUUGAGUACUGGGGAGGCAGACGGAAUUCCUAGUGUAGCGGUGAAAUGCGUAGAUAUUAGGAGGAACACCAGUGGCGAAGGCGGUCUGCUGGACAGCAACUGACGCUGAGGCGCGAAAGCGUGGGGAGCAAACAGGAUUAGAUACCCUAGUAGUC